UAAAAAAAUAUGUGUAUAUAUAUAUAUAUAUAUAUAUAUAUAUAUAUAUUAUGGAACAUAUAUGGCAAAGAGGGCCUUACCUACCAACUGAAUCAACAGGUUUAAAAAACUAAAUACCACUGGCUAUUGUGCUGAUAAGUGGUAAAGUAAAACAAGUUUUACACUAUAACAUUAGCUCUAUGUUGCUCUGCUAGCUCCAGUUGCAGUAAUCUGUUUUUGCGAGAAAGUGAAAAAUGUUCAUAAUCAAGGUGAAUAUGUAUCCACAGGCCUUGUAGUAAAAUGAAAUGAGCAGGAAGUGAGCUGAACAGGACACUUCUCGAGGUGAGAAGCAUGCUGGUGCCUGCUGGGGAAGAUGGGCUAAUCCGUUAGCUGGAGGCACUGUGAGCACAAAUGCUCAACACACAAAAAAAUUCAAGAGCGCUAACUGUCUGAAGAGCAAGUGAAUGAGUCCCGGGAAGGAACACACAGCUCUUCCAGCCCCGACCCUUUGGAGUGGGGGCCUGGAUCCAGCCCGAAGCUUUUUGAAAGGAUUAAGGCACAUUAGCCUCUUGACAACAAAACAAAACAUAUCAUCACUGGAAGCAUGCUGUUUGGGUUUACAUACAUUUGACCCCUGCACCUGAGAUCACACACCGUAGGGGAAUCAGAGCGUUGAACACACCCCUCACCCUCCACCAAUCCCUCACCGUACAAUAUUAGGAUCAAUUUGACAGAUCAAAUCUACGUCAUUGACAUCUGGGAUUAUCAAACCACUCAUACUAGACAGCUGGACUAUGUGUGUGUGUGUGUGUGUCUGUGUGCGUGUGUGCAUUCAUGGUCAGUUGCGGGAGUUAAUGGAAAGGAAUGAAGACUCAAACUGCUCAAGACCGCAGAGUAGAUUUAUUUAAAAGCAGUUUACCUGUGAUAACAGUGUCUCGCUGUAAUCAUAGCACAACAACAUAACACUGACACAAGAGGGCUUACCCAAGUAGAAGCAAAAGACAUAGGCAACCAAAAAGAUAACAAUUAUUUAUUUGUCUGACCCAUCAGAUUUGUAGCAAAAGGCAUGUUCUCACAUCUCAGAGAGUGAAAUGGUAUGACAUGAUAAAACUGGAUUAAAGUCAAAGGUCAAAGCUGUGAGAAUGAAAUUUAAGCUGUGGAAACAAGACCCUGUUGUAUGAAUAUAGCAUUCUGAUCGAAGCAGAACUGAACUGCAGCAGAACUCGCAGGGCAGUGCAUGAGUUUAUGCUGGUGUCCCGGGUUGGGUAGCCACUGUCCCUGCUGGCCAUUAAUGGCAUAUAUUAGAUCAUGUUGUCCAUUAGCUAAUAUGCCAGGGCCACAUUAAAGGAGUGGCCAGGGUGCGUAAAGACAUUGCACACCCAUGCAGGAGAUGUGACCCUUAGGGACUCCUGACACUUGAAUUAAUCAUUGAAGGCGGGGAUGGGACCCACCGCCACAACACGCUAUACACGCUAGAUUGUCUUGGUGAAAGGUUUUGUCAUACAUGAUUAGUAGAUCUGAAAAAAUAACGGCUACUGGAUACUGUCUGAUAAAGCUUAUGAUAGCCGCAGUAAUGGUGUGGCUCAAACCAGAAACAGUCACUCGUGGAUUCAAUUCAAUUCAUUUAAUAUUAUUUUGUAUAGCCCAAAAUCGCAAAUUACAAAUUUGCCUCAGAGGGCUUUACAGUCUGUACACAUACGACAUCCUCUGUCCCGAAACCCACACAUCGACACAGGAAAAACUCCCCAAAAAAUGAAAAAACCCUUCCAUGGGGAAAAAAUGGAAGAAAUCUUAGGGAGAACGUCAGAGGUGGGAUCCCACUGGGGGGAUGGACAGACUACAAUGGAUGCCAUGUGUACAGAAUGAACAAUGUAUAAUACAUGCAAUUCCUAUGACAGAAAUGAUUCAAGUAAUUGUGAGUAGUAAGCCAGGGGCACAGCAGGACCACUGCAGGGGCGAACACCAUCAGAUAGAAACACCAUCCACAGAAGCAUGUGGGGAGGGAAAGCACAAAGACAUUAGGAGAGGGUAAUGUUGGUUUAUGAUUACAGUAUUAUGAUUAUUAUUUACAAUAAUAAUGAUGAUGAUGGCAGCAGCAGCAGAUUCUUUGAGCAAAACAACGUCAGACAGCUUUUCGCAAAUCUUUUUAUUUCCUCUCACCCUAACACACACUUUUUUUCCAUGCAGCCCGUCUAGGUGGUCCGUGUCCUCCCACCUCCCACCUGGUCCCACUACCGGUUGCAUGAAGAGCAUGAUUAGAUUGCUGUCAGACUCUAGCACAGUCCCCAUCCAACCAUCGAUCGAACCAUCCACUCAUCCAUCCAUCCAACCAGUAAGAUAAAACUACAUUUACAAUCCCGCAAACAUUUGUAGUAACGCAAAUAUCAAUUCUACCAUCUUCUUUUCAUGAAGACAUUCUAAAAGAGUUAAAUCAAUAUUUCGGUCUUCGCUGCUUUUGAAAACCCAAUUUGCCUUUAAGUUCUAGACACACUAAAUGGACAAACAAUGUAAGUAAUUCUCAGCUUCUCGAGUGUUCUCUCUGUAGUACAUGUGUGGGUCUAGUGGAAAGACGAGCCCGGCAUUGAGCGGUGGGUUUUCUUGUCUGCACAUGUCUCUCCUCCUCUGUAGUGUCACUCAGGGUUUUGUAGCUUAGACCGCCGCCUUGCUCUCUCAUCCCUGCUACCACUGUGUCGGGUGACAUCAUCCAUUUGAGAAGGGGCUGCUACAUCAUGAGGCACAAAGCCGCUGUCGAGCGGCGGCCCCAUAAAGAAACAUGCCACACCGUUCAACCGCUCACUUCAAACAAGUCAGGUACAAAGCAGCUUCACCUGCUCCGCCUCGCUUUAGUUUCUCUCUUUCCUGAAAUAUGGUCAAGGACACUAUGCUGACCAUUGGCCUCCUUCAUGUUAUUUCAGUGGUUGCCGUUCAAUGUCUAAUAUCAAUGUGAACAGAAACCUAUAGAUGUCCACAGACGAGAUGGCCUAAGUGUCCAAAUAAUUCAACCGACUCAUCCACCUGUUGGAGCUGCUGCUGCUACUGUUGGGUUGCUUGAUUUGGGGAGGUGGGGGAACAUUUUCGCUAACCUGAGAUCUAAAUGUAAGUAAGUAGCUCCUCUGGUUCAUGUCCUAACGGUCCGAUAAGAGAAGUUCAGGGCAUAGAUGCUGGACGUUAUCAGUGUUAUCAAAGCAGGUCGAGGUCAAAGCGGGACGGGGGCGGCUGCAGUGCCGCCUGUAACCGGUGUAACAGCAAUAACAGAAGGUCUGCUAAUCCAGCAAGACGUUGUGUGGACCAUGAUUGGACUGCAGAAGCCAAGUGAAGUUUCUGUCCCCCUAAAAGGCCUGAUUGAAUUGGUAGAUAGCAACAUGGGGCACUGAAUUGAAUGAAUUUAACAGACCAAAAAUGAGACAAGAAUUAGAAAGCUAGAAAGCCUCGUGGUCCCUCCGCUAAAUGAAGGUCCUUCUGCAGAGCUGCUGCAAAAUAAGUACUCAAGGUUGGUGGAUUUUCAUUAUCACAGUCAGAAUAAUAAACACCUGGUGAGGGUUGGGUAAGGUCGUGCCUAUGCCUUAAAUAUACAUCUGUCCCUUAUGCUGAGCUCAGCUAACCUGUAGUCAGUUUGUUCUUAACACACGGGCGAUGAGUUUUACCUCCAUCUUCCCAUCACAUUCAAGCGGUGUCCCGAAUGUCUAAUGAAUGUUCUUUAGUCUGGCAAAGACUCUAAUGCAUUUGGAGGAGGGGGAAACUGUCUCUGGUCAGCACAAGGUUGUCACUUCACCCGAGCCGUCGGUGGGAACUUGGGUAUCGACUCAGAGCGCCGAUUCAGCUAGCCUAAACAAACACGGAGCGACCACUGCAGGCACACAUGGAGAUCCUGCAGCUUAAUGCCUCAUUCCCCUUCACACAAUGGCUAACCUGUAAUUUACCCCAGCACUUAACAGGACCGCACCGUAAUACGAGGAAAUGUGGAGAAUCCACCUCUGUUUUCUUUGGCCAAGUUCACUGGAGCUGAAUGGAGCGGACCGAGUCUCUUUUCACAGGAUGCAAGGCUCGCUUCCUCCAGCUCGGAGGCCCUUAUGGGCCGACUACAGGGUGCAAAGGUGGUGGUGUCAGAGGUGGAGGGAGAGGGGGGGCGGAUAUCAGAGGCGAAGACUCUUUGCUCAUGGUUUAUUUGUGUGGUUUCUGGUCACGUUAUUGGGCUCAACGUAUUGGUUCAAUGAGUCUUCCCUGAGAUCUGAGGAGCGUCAGCUUGGCUUCAA
ensembl:lncRNA